GCCAGACUCCUACGGGAGGCAGCAGUGAGGAAUAUUGGUCAAUGGCCGCAGGGUUGAACCAGCCAAGUCGCGUGAGGGAUGACGGUCCUAUGGAUUGUAAACCUCUUUUGUCAGGGAGCAAAGGGCGCCACGUGUGGCGCUUUGCGAGUACCUGAAGAAAAAGCAUCGGCUAACUCCGUGCCAGCAGCCGCGGUAAUACGGAGGAUGCGAGCGUUAUCCGGAUUUAUUGGGUUUAAAGGGUGCGCAGGCGGAAUGUCAAGUCAGCGGUAAAAUUUCGGGGCUCAACCCCGUCGUGCCGUUGAAACUGGCGUUCUUGAAUGAGCGAGAAGUAUGCGGAAUGCGUGGUGUAGCGGUGAAAUGCAUAGAUAUCACGCAGAACUCCGAUUGCGAAGGCAGCAUACCGGCGCUCAACUGACGCUCAUGCACGAAAGCGUGGGUAUCGAACAGGAUUAGAUACCCUUGUAAU
rnacentral:rRNA from 1 species